rnacentral:rRNA from 1 species
AACGCGAAGAACCUGUACCACCCCUUGACAUUCCUGCGAACCUUUCCUAGAGAUGGAUUGGUGCCUUCGGGAGCGCACAGACAGGUGCUGCAUGGCUGUCGUCAGCUCGUGUUGUGAAAUGUUGGGUUAAGUCCCGUAACGAGCGCAACCCUUGUCCCUAUUUGCCAGCGAUUCGGUCGGGAACUCUAGGGAGACUGCCGGUGACAAACCGGAGGAAGGUGGGGACGACGUCAAGUCAUCAUGGCCCUUACGGGUAGGGCUACACACGUGCUACAAUGGCCGGUACAAAGGGUUGCGAAGCCGCGAGGUGGAGCUAAUCCCGAAAAGCCGUUCGUAGUNGGAGUCUGCAACUCGACUCCGUGAAGUCGGAAUCGCUAGUAAUCGCGGAUCAGCAUGCCGCGGUG